UACAGAGGGGGCAAGCGUUGUUCGGAAUUACUGGGCGUAAAGGGCGCGUAGGCGGCCUUCUAAGUCGAACGUGAAAUCCCCGGGCUCAACCCGGGAACUGCGUCCGAGACUGGAAGGCUCGAAUCCGGGAGAGGGAUGUGGAAUUCCAGGUGUAGCGGUGAAAUGCGUAGAUAUCAGGUGGAACACCAGUGGCGAAGGCGGCUUUCUGGACGGUAACUGACGCUGAGACGCGAAAGCGUGGGGAGCAAACAGG
rnacentral:rRNA from 1 species